rnacentral:rRNA from 1 species
GUGCCAGCCGCCGCGGUAAUACGGAGGAUGCGAGCGUUAUCCGGAUUUAUUGGGUUUAAAGGGUGCGCAGGCGGGCUUUUAAGUCAGCGGUGAAAUCUGGACGCUUAACGUCCAAACUGCCGUUGAAACUGGGAGUCUUGAGUAUGGAUGAAGUAGGCGGAAUUCGUUGUGUAGCGGUGACAUGCAUAGAUAUAACGAGGAACUCCGAUUGCGUAGGCAGCUUACUAAGCCAUAACUGACGCUCAUGCACGAAAGCGUGGGGAUCAAACAGG